CAAGUGGCAUUCAACAGAAAUAUUCUCUUCACCUACACAUCCAGAAUUGUAAUGGUAUCAAGACUGCUUCUAAAUGUGGUUAGGGUACUCGUCUUUUAAUGUGUUCUUCAAACAGCCCAAAGCCAUCAACCUGACUGACCCCCAGAAGCAAUACAAUGAAAGUAAAAGAAUUAUCAUUUCACAAAGCGCAGAGGUAGGCCACAAAGUGGAUACUGGAUAAGGAAAUGCCCAACUUACGCAGAACUAGGCAACAUAAGAGACGUUCCAUAGGUACGAGAACUUAUGUGGAUGGCCAACAGGAGGCUAUGGGAAUGAAACAGCGACAGCUGGGUACAGCAACGUGAAAAAGAAACAUAUCAAAACACAGGAUGUCACUGCAAUAAAAACAAAAAAAAAUAGUGUUGGAUCCAGCAGACAGCUGAAAUGGUGUACAACAAAUAUAGGACAAUAUAUCAAAAACAUGUUCACAUGAAAUAAAACAGACCAUCAUUCUUUUACAAAUAGAGAUUUUAUCACUUACACAAACAUUU